CAGUCGCCACGGUAAAACGGGGGGGGCAAGUGUUAUUCGGAAUGACUGGGCGUAAAGGGCACGUAGGCGGUGAAAAGGGUGGAAAGUGAAAGUCGCCAAAACACUGGCGGGGUGCUUUCUUGACCAUUUCACUUGAGUGAGAUAGGGGAGAGUGGAAUUUCGUGUGGAGGGAUCAAAUCCUAAGAUAUACGAAGGAACGCCAACCGCGAAGGCAGCUCUCUGGGUCCCCACUGACGCUGGGGUGCGAAAGCAUGGGGAGCAAACAGGAUCAGAGACCCCAGUAGUCCCUGUCUCUUAUACA
rnacentral:rRNA from 1 species